GAUGGAACCAUCUUAGAUGAAUUUACUGUUUAUCAGACCACAAAUGAGACAAGAAUUAGCACAACACACCGACUCUCUCUCACUCGCUCUCUUCUUCACCGUCUCCUCCUGGCGAGGCGGCCGUCUGACUGCUGCGGCACCGAGGAGCCUCACCGCUGCACGCCGGGCCACAGCACACCGGAGGACGGAUAGACGUGUUGCCGAGUUGUGCACGCCCCGUCGUACGGACCUCUUAGAGGUCCCCAAACCUCCAAAAUGGCAUUGGCUGCUUUCCGUUAAUUUAUCUCCAGGAGGAGACGGUAAAGAAGAGAGCGAGUGAGAGACGGUCAGUGUGUUGUGUUAAUUCUGUCGCUGCUCAGAUGCAAAUGAGCAUGAAUGCGCCUGCGCAAGCUUGAAGGAUGACGUGUGACUUGCCGCUGCUAUUCUAGUCAUACGUCAUAUUCCUUUUUUAGCAACAACCUUUUUUUAUUUUUUUAUUUUGAGCACAAAAUUAAGUUAUUCGUCAAAAAAAA